rnacentral:rRNA from 1 species
GUCGAACGGAGAUUACGGACGGAAGUUUUCGGAUGGAAGCCUGUAAUUCUUAGUGGCGGACGGGUGAGUAACGCGUGGGCAACCUGCCCUAUACAGGGGGAUAGCAGCUGGAAACGGCUGGUAAGACCGCAUAAGUCGGUUAAAUCGCAUGAUUUGAUCGGGAAAUGAGCAAUCAGGUAUAGGAUGGGCCCGCGUCCGAUUAGCCAGUUGGCAGGGUAAAAGCCUACCAAAGCGACGAUCGGUAGCCGGACUGAGAGGUCGGACGGCCACAUUGGGACUGAGACACGGCCCAAACUCCUACGGGAGGCAGCAGUGGGGGAUAUUGCACAAUGGAGGAAACUCUGAUGCAGCGACGCCGCGUGAGUGAAGAAGUAUUUCGGUAUGUAAAGCUCUAUCAGCAGGA